GUCGAGCGGUAACAGAAUGAUAGCUUGCUAUCAAUGCUGACGAGCGGCGGACGGGUGAGUAAUGCCUGGGAAUAUGCCCUGAUGUGGGGGAUAACUAUUGGAAACGAUAGCUAAUACCGCAUAAUCUCUUCGGAGCAAAGAGGGGGACCUUCGGGCCUCUCGCGUCAGGAUUAGCCCAGGUGGGAUUAGCUUGUUGGUGGGGUAAUGGCUCACCAAGGCAACGAUCCCUAGCUGGUCUGAGAGGAUGAUCAGCCACACUGGAACUGAGACACGGUCCAGACUCCUACGGGAGGCAGCAGUGGGGAAUAUUGCACAAUGGGGGAAACCCUGAUGCAGCCAUGCCGCGUGUAUGAAGAAGGCCUUCGGGUUGUAAAGUACUUUCAGUUGUGAGGAAGGCGUUGAUGUUAAUAGCUUCAGCGUUUGACGUUAGCAACAGAAGAAGCACCGGCUAACUCCGUGCCAGCAGCCGCGGUAAUACGGAGGGUGCGAGCGUUAAUCGGAAUUACUGGGCGUAAAGCGCAUGCAGGUGGUCUGUUAAGCAAGAUGUGAAAGCCCGGGGCUCAACCUCGGAACAGCAUUUUGAACUGGCAGACUAGAGUACUGUAGAGGGGGGUAG
rnacentral:rRNA from 1 species